rnacentral:rRNA from 1 species
CCAGGUGAGCUGCGCGGAGGGGCCCCACCCGUUCCCAUUCCGAACACGGCCGUUAAGCCCUCCAGCCCCGAUGGUACUGCCCCGGCGACGGGGUGGGAGAGUAGGCCCUCGCCUCGG